rnacentral:rRNA from 1 species
GACGAACGCUGGCGGCGUGCUUAACACAUGCAAGUCGAACGGAAAGGCCCUGCUUUUGUGGGGUGCUCGAGUGGCGAACGGGUGAGUAACACGUGAGUAACCUGUCCUUGACUUUGGGAUAACUUCAGGAAACUGGGGCUAAUACCGGAUAGGAGCUCCUGCUGCAUGGUGGGGGUUGGAAAGUUUCGGCGGUUGGGGAUGGACUCGCGGCUUAUCAGCUUGUUGGUUGGGUAGUGGCUUACCAAGGCUUUGACGGGUAGCCGGCCUGGGCGGGGGACCGGCCACGUUGGGCCGGGGAUACGGCCCAGACUCCUACGGGAGGCAGCAGUGGGGAAUAUUACACAAUGGGCGGAAGCCUGAUGCGGCAACGCCGCGUGCGGGAUGACGGCCUUCGGGUUGUAAACCGCUUUCGCCUGUGACGAAGCGUGAGUGACGGUAAUGGGUAAAGAAGCACCGGCUAACUACGUG